GCCUGGCUGGCUCAGUCAGUAGAGCAUGCGACUCUGGAUCGCAGGGCUGUGAGUUCGAGCCCUGCAUUAGGUG
rnacentral:tRNA from 1 species